AGAGUUUGAUCAUGGCUCAGGAUGAACGCUGGCGGUAUGCUUAACACAUGCAAGUCGAACGGACGCUUCGGCGUUAGUGGCGGACGGGUGAGUAACACGUGAGAACCUACCUUCAGGACAGGGACAACAACUGGAAACGGUUGCUAAUACCUGAUGUGCCUAUGGGUGAAAGAUUUAUCGCCUGAAGAUGGGCUCGCGACCGAUUAGCUAGUUGGAGUGGUAACGGCACACCAAGGCGACGAUCGGUAGCUGGUCUGAGAGGAUGAUCAGCCACACUGGAACUGAGACACGGUCCAGACUCCUACGGGAGGCAGCAGUGGGGAAUUUUCCGCAAUGGGCGCAAGCCUGACGGAGCAAUACCGCGUGAGGGAGGAAGGCUCUUGGGUUGUAAACCUCUUUUGUCAGGGAAGAAGAUCUGACGGUACCUGACGAAUCAGCAUCGGCUAACUCCGUGCCAGCCGCCGCGGUAAUAC
rnacentral:rRNA from 1 species